GCCUGGGUAGCUUAGCGGUAAAGCGCGUCCUUGGUAAGGACGAGACCCCGGGUUCAAAUCCCGGCCUAGGCU
rfam:Halococcus hamelinensis 100A6 contig_7, whole genome shotgun sequence.